rnacentral:rRNA from 1 species
UAGGGAAUCUUCCACAAUGGACGCAAGUCUGAUGGAGCAACGCCGCGUGAGUGAAGAAGGCUUUCGGGUCGUAAAACUCUGUUGUUGGAGAAGAAUGGUCGGCAGAGUAACUGUUGCCGGCGUGACGGUAUCCAACCAGAAAGCCACGGCUAACUACGUGCCAGCAGCCGCGGUAAUACGUAGGUGGCAAGCGUUAUCCGGAUUUAUUGGGCGUAAAGCGAGCGCAGGCGGUUUUUUAAGUCUGAUGUGAAAGCCCUCGGCUUAACCGAGGAAGCGCAUCGGAAACUGGGAAACUUGAGUGCAGAAGAGGACAGUGGAACUCCAUGUGUAGCGGUGAAAUGCGUAGAUAUAUGGAAGAACACCAGUGGCGAAGGCGGCUGUCUGGUCUGUAACUGACGCUGAGGCUCGAAAGCAUGGGUAGCGAACAGGAUUAGAUACCCUGGUAGUCCAUGCCGUAAAACGAUGAAUGCUAGGUGUUGG